AGCAAUUGGAUGGGUUCAUCAUCUAUUCCAAACAAAAGUAAUUGAAUAAGUUCGAACCCCUCAUGAAGAUGAAACUCCAAAUUCUCAAAGGAAAACCUGGAAAAAAACGAGUCAAGAUUGUUAAGAUAAAUAUUACUCUAUAACUAUCUGAAGAAGCCAAAGAUAUUAAAUCUAAAAAAUCUCAGGUUUUAUAUUAAUUGUUUUUGGGAUGCUGAUGCAUGGGCAAAACAAGUCAAGAUUAAUUGUUAAGAUAAAGAACAUGAAUCUAACGAUGAGUUUGAUGAAGAUGGAUUUGGAAGUUCAGGCGAGGUAUUUUUAGUCACUGGUUGUUUAACUCAGUUUUUCUAGAUGAUAAAAUGGAGUAGUGAUCCUCUUCAAAAUGAUGUGUAAAACAAAGUAAAAAUAAAAACGAAAAGAUAAUUAUAUCAUUUUAUUUAUACAUGUAAAUAUAUUUUCAUCCUUAGAAUAUAAAAGAAAAAAAUGAAGUAAUUUUCCAGAGAUCUUUUUGUAGUACUCUCAAGUUUAUCUGAGAGUCUGUUAGAUGAUGCUAAACAAAUGCUUCUGGUCUUCAAUGAAAAAUCUUUUGAUUUUGCUUAUUGUUGUUCAAGGAUUUAUUGUUCAGUAACUUUGUGUCACUAGUCAUUAUAGAUGGACGUUGAUAGAGUGAAAGUCACGAAGACAAAGAGGAUAAUGGUAUUGUGGUUGUGUCAUUUGUUCUUGUUUUUGUCAUCUUGUUGUCUAAU